rnacentral:rRNA from 1 species
GAGGGUGAUCGGCCACACUGGGACUGAAACACGGCCCAAAAUCCUACGGGAGGCAGCAGUAGGGAAUCUUUCGCAAUGGACGAAAGUCUGACGGAACAACGCCCCGUGAACGAAAAAGGCCUUCGGGUCGUAAAGUUCUGUUGUUAGGGAAAAACAAGUACCAAAGUAACUGCUGGUACCUUGACGGUACCUAACCAGAAAGCCACGGCUAACUACGUGCCAGCAGCCGCGGUAAUACGUAGGUGGCAAGCGUUGUCCGGAAUUAUUGGGCGUAAAGCGCGCGCAGGUGGUUCCUUAAGUCUGAUGUGAAAGCCCACGGCUCAACCGUGGAGGGUCAUUGGAAACUGGGGAACUUGAGUGCAAAAAAAGAAAGUGGAAUUCCAAGUGUAGCGGUGAAAUGCGUAGAGAUUUGGAGGAACACCAGUGGCGAAGGCGACUUUCUGGUCUGUAACUGACACUGAGGCGCGAAAGCGUGGGGAGCAAACAGGAUUAGAUACCCUGGUAGUCCACGCCGUAAACGAUGAGUGCUAAGUGUUAGAGGGUUUCCGCCCUUUUAGUGCUGCAGCUAACGCAUUAAGCACUCCGCCUGGGGGAGUACCGGCCGCAAGGCUGAAACUCAAAGGAAUUGACGGGGGCCCGCACAAGCCGGUGGAGCAUGUGGUUUAAUUCGAAGCAACGCGAAGAACCUUACCAGGUUCUUGACAUCCUCUGACAACCCUAGAGAUAGGGCGUUCCCCUUCGGGGGACAGAGUGACAGGUGGUGCAUGGUUGUCGUCAGCUCGUGUNGUGAGAUGUUGGGU